CGGGGCUUGGAAUCAUGAUGCUGUGGGCCCCGCCAGCGUUUUAUCCGGCUAUCACGGGGAUCCUCGCAAGCCGGACGGUAUAGCUGCAUCAGCUCUAAAGUAGGCCGCUGGGGGUUAACUCACCACUGCCCCGGUGCUCCGAAUUUCAUGAGAGCUGAUGCACUACACGCCGCGAGGGGGUGGGUCGUGUUGGACGGCUCAGAAGGUGUAGACGCCG
rnacentral:ncRNA from 1 species